rnacentral:rRNA from 1 species
AACGAACGCUGGCGGCAGGCCUAACACAUGCAAGUCGAACGCCCUAGCAAUAGGGAGUGGCAGACGGGUGAGUAACACGUGGGAACCUUCCCUAUAGUACGGAAUAGCCCAGGGAAACUUGGAGUACUACCGUAUACGCCCGAGAGGGGAAAGAUUUAUCGCUAUAGGGUGGGCGCGCGUAGGUUUAGCUAGUUGGUGAGGUAAUGGCUCACCAAGGCAACGAUCCUUAGCUGGUUUGAGAGAAUGACCAGCCACACUGGGACUGAGACCCGGCCCAGACUCCGAGGGGAGGCAGCAGUGGGGAAUCUUGCGCAAUGGGCGAAAGCCUGACGCAGCCAUGCCGCGUGAAUGAUGAAGGUCUUAGGAUUGUAAAAUUCUUUUACCAGGGACGAUAAUGACGGUACCUGGAGAAAAAGCCCCGGCUAACUUCGUGCCAGCAGCCGCCGUAAGAC